rnacentral:tRNA from 1 species
GCGCCCGUAGCUCAGGGGAUAGAGCAGCGGCCUUCUAAGCCGAGGGUCGGGGGUUCGAAUCCCUCCGGGCGCGCCA